rnacentral:rRNA from 1 species
ACUCCUACGGGAGGCAGCAGUGGGAAUAUUGCACAAUGGGCGCAAGCCUGAUGCAGCCAUGCCGCGUGUGUGAAGAAGGCCUUCGGGUUGUAAAGCACUUUCAGUUGUGAGGAAAGGUUGAGUCGCUAAUUAAUCGGCUGAGCUGUUGACGUUAGCAACAGAAGAAGCACCGGCUAACUCCGUGCCAGCAGCCGCGGUAAUACGGAGGGUGCGAGCGUUAAUCGGAAUUACUGGGCGUAAAGCGCGUGUAGGUGGCUUGUUAAGCCAGAUGUGAAAGCCCGGCU